AGCAGCCGCGGUAAUUCCAGCUCCAAUAGCGUAUAUUAAAGUUGUUGCGGUUAAAAAGCUCGUAGUUGAAUUUCGGGAUCAAUAUGUUGGUCGUGCCUUGGUACGUACUGGCAUUAUCGAUUCCUACCUUCUGAAGAACCUCGAUGUCAUUAAUUUGGUGUCUUGGGGAAUCAGGACUGUUACUUUGAAAAAUUAGAGUGUUUAAAGCAGGCUCGCGCUUGAAUACAUUAGCAUGGAAUAAUGAAAUAGGACGUUUGAUUCUAUUUUGUUGGUUUCUAGGAUCGACGUAAUGAUUAAUAGGGAUAGUUGGGGGCAUUAGUAUUCAAUUGUCAGAGGUGAAAUUCUUGGAUUUAUUGAAGACUAACUACUGCGAAAGCAUUUGCCAAGGAUGUUUUCAUUAAUCAAGAACGAAAGUUAGGGGUCGAAGACGAUCAGAUACCGUCGUAGUCUUAACCAUAAACUAUGCCGACUAGGGAUCGGAUGAUGUUAAUUUUUAAUGUACUCAUUCGGCGCCUUACGG
rnacentral:rRNA from 1 species